AUUGAACGCUGGCGGCAUGCCUUACACAUGCAAGUCGAACGGUAACGGGCCUUCGGGUGCCGACGAGUGGCGAACGGGUGAGUAAUACAUCGGAACGUGCCCGAUCGUGGGGGAUAACGAGGCGAAAGCUUUGCUAAUACCGCAUACGAUCUACGGAUGAAAGCAUGGGACCGCAAGGCCUUGCGCGGACGGAGCGGCCGAUGGCGGAUUAGGUAGUUGGUGGGAUAAAAGCCUACCAAGCCGACGAUCUGUAGCUGGUCUGAGAGGAUGAUCAGCCACACUGGGACUGAGACACGGCCCAGACUCCUACGGGAGGCAGCAGUGGGGAAUUUUGGACAAUGGGCGCAAGCCUGAUCCAGCCAUGCCGCGUGCAGGAUGAAGGCCUUCGGGUUGUAAACUGCUUUUGUACGGAACGAAAAGCCUUCUUUUAAUACAGGAGGGUCAUGACGGUACCGUAAGAAUAAGCACCGGCUAACUACGUG
rnacentral:rRNA from 1 species